AGCUUUGUGCAGUGGCAGUAUCAUAGCCAAUGAGGUUUAUCCAAGGCGCGAUUAUUGCAAUUGAAAACUUUUCCCAAUACCCCACUGUGAUGACUUGAAAAAAAAAAUCAUAUGCAAAUGGAAAUUAAUUCUACAUAAAA
rnacentral:snRNA from 1 species